UGCUCCUGUAAGUGAAGAAUGUGUGCAUUGAAUGUGCAUAUUGUGCAUUAAAACACUGCUCAACACAAGAGGGGCAAAACCACGAAGAACCUUCAGAAGGGGUUUCCACAAGCCCCACACAAUCAGUUUGAUGGCUUAGGUUAAAACGCUUAAACCACUCCUCUCCAACCGUUAGUCUGCUAUGAGCGAGAGAUGGAGAGGAGGAGCGAUAAAGUAAAACCCUGCUCUCUGUUCAAUAUUCUGUUUCACUUGGAAAUACAUCACAACACUGGAGAAAACUUGUUUGCAACUUCCGGUUCACAGGGACUUUAAAGCUUCUGAACUCAUUGUGUAGCUCUGAUACCAUAAACCUGGUAAUUGACGAUGUCAGGGAAUGUGAGAGGUGCUUCUGGGUUUUUGGUCCAUUCUGUAACUGGCAGGUCGUACGGGUCGAUGGUGUUAAUGUCAAGCAGUUUCUCUAAAUAACGCUGCUUAGCGGAGUCAUUUAGUUUCUCCUGAUAUAACCGCUUUCCUUUCACUUUCUCCUUCUCCAUUUCUUCCCAUAAAACUGUGCUGUAUCACAAGACCUCAGUCAGAUACACUGUCAAGUAUUCAGUCAGCAGCUCAAACUCUGAGAAGAAAUCAAGCCAAACUACAGCAGCAGCUCCUACACAAGAGAAUCAGAAGUCAUUAAAUACCCCAAACUCUGAGAGGACAGCAGCUGCACAAACACCUGGAUUUACUGAAC